rnacentral:rRNA from 1 species
UACGGGAGGCAGCAGUGGGGAAUAUUGCACAAUGGGCGAAAGCCUGAUGCAGCUAUGCCGCGUGUAUGAAGAAGGCCUUAGGGUUGUAAAGUACUUUCAUCGGGGAGGAAAAAACAAAACUAAUAAUUUUAUUUCUUGACGUUACCCGAAAAAGAAGCACCGGCUAACUCCGUGCCAGCAGCCGCGGUAAUACGGAGGGUGCUAGCGUUAAUCAGAAUUACUGGGCGUAAAGAGCACGUAGGUGGUUUUUUUAAGUCAGAUGUGAAAUCCCUGGGCUUAACCUGGAACUGCAUUUUGAAACUGGAAUACUAGAGUAUCGUAGAGGGAGGUAGAAUUCUAGGUGUAGCGGUGAAAUGCGUAGAUAUCUGGAGGAAUACCUGUGGCGAAAGCGGCCUCCUAAACGAAUACUGACACUGAGGUGCGAAAGCGUGGGGAGCAAACAGGGAUUAGAUACC